rnacentral:rRNA from 1 species
AUUGAACGCUGGCGGCAGGCCUAACACAUGCAAGUCGAGCGAGCGGCGGACGGGUGAGUAAUGUAUGGGGACUGCCCGAUAGAGGGGGAUAACUACUGGAAACGGGGGCUAAUACCGCAUACUGUGGGAUAACCCAUACGGGAUUAGCUAGUAGGUAAGGUAAUGGCUUACCUAGGCGACGAUCCCUAGCUGGUCUGAGAGGAUGAUCAGCCACACUGGGACUGAGACACGGCCCAGACUCCUACGGAGGCAGCAGUGGGGAAUAUUGCACAAUGGACGAAAGCCUGAUGCAGCAAUGCCGCGUGUAUGAAGAAGGCCCUAGGGUUGUAAAGUACUUUCAGUCGGGAGGCGUUACCGACAGAAGAAGCACCGGCUAACUCCGUGCCAGCAGCCGCGGUAAUAC